rnacentral:rRNA from 1 species
GCGUGAGAAUCUGCCCUCAGGAGGGGGAUAACGGCUGGAAACGGCCGCUAAUACCCCAUAUGCCGAGAGGUGAAAUGAAUUUCGCCUGAGGAUGAGCUCGCGUCUGAUUAGCUAGUUGGUGGGGUAAGAGCCUACCAAGGCUUCGAUCAGUAGCUGGUCUGAGAGGAUGAUCAGCCACACUGGGACUGAGACACGGCCCAGACUCCUACGGGAGGCAGCAGUGGGGAAUUUUCCGCAAUGGGCGAAAGCCUGACGGAGCAACGCCGCGUGAGGGAUGAAGGCCUCUGGGCUGUAAACCUCUUUUCUCAAGGAAGAAGAUCUGACGGUACUUGAGGAAUAAGCCACGGCUAAUUCCGUGCCAGCAGCCGCGGUAAUACGGGAGUGGCAAGCGUUAUCCGGAAUUAUUGGGCGUAAAGCGUCCGUAGGCGGCCUCGUAAGUCUGUCGUUAAAGCGUGGAGCUUAACUCCAUUUCAGCGAUGGAAACUGCGAGGCUAGAGUGUGGUAGGG